GUCCACGCCCUAAACGAUGUCGACUAGCCGUUGGAGGAAUAAAAUCCUUUAGUGGCGCAGCUAACGCGAUAAGUCGACCGCCUGGGGAGUACGGCCGCAAGGCUAAAACUCAAAGGAAUUGACGGGGGCCCGCACAAGCGGUGGAGCAUGUGGUUUAAUUCGAUGCAACGCGAAGAACCUUACCUGGCCUUGACAUCCCGGGAACUUUCCAGAGAUGGAUCGGUGCCUUCGGGAACCCGGAGACAGGUGCUGCAUGGCUGUCGU
rnacentral:rRNA from 1 species